rnacentral:tRNA from 1 species
GGCGCGUUAGCAGAUCGGUUAUGCACCGGAUUGCAAAUCCGUGUAGCUCGGUUCGAUUCCGGGACGCGCCU